UGUCAUAAGAAUUAGGCCACAUCUGAGCAAUUAGGAGGCAUUCAGGAAAUAACUCUUAGGCACUUUCAUCAUCUAGGAAUUUCAUCAAAUUACCUGAAUGUUCAAGUGAAUAAGCUUUACUAUCAUUUCAAUCCAUUCAAAGGCCACAGUCUUGGUGCUUAUAGAAGUUCUGGAGCAGAUCUGAGAGAGGGAUAGCAUAAGAAGUUUAAAUAUAAGCACACAUAGCAAAAUUCUAAUAAUAAUCCUAAAAGUUGAAGUCCUGAUCUUAUCUAAGCGUCUAUAGCUAAAGAAAGCCAGCUGAAAACAUUGAUAGAAAAAUAGAGAAGUUUUGUGCUAUUUUCCCAAUUUUUUUUGAGUUCAGAUCUACCAGAAGUGUUAAUCUAGGUGCAAUAGGAGCUGCUAGCUAGGGCCCAGAGGCUGCCCUGUUCUGCAAAGAGAUAAUAAAGCACUGUUUGAUUGCCUAAUACAGUCCUCACUAGGGAAUCCAGGGAUCACUGGUGUUGAACUAAGCCUCAAAUGGUAGAGCUGAUUAAUGUAGCCAUGGUUCCACAGGCCAGUUAUGGACAGCACCAAUCCAAGGAACAAAUCCUUUUUGCAAUGAUACUUAUUGGAGGGUAGAUGGGGUAUAAAAAGGGGGCUACUGAGUCUCAUCCAGACCGAUGAGAUUUUGGCUGGAUUUUUCCUUCAGUGAGAACAGUAUCCUAAAAGGCAUGGUCCUGUCACACUACGGCAGCUGUCUAAACAUUCGUAAACCCAUGGUCCCCCCUUGUCAUCACACGCAAGAAUGUACCCAGAAGAGUGUGGACUCCACCAAGUGUGUGGGUAUUUAUGUUUCGUUUGCAUUGACAGGUUAUGAGCUUAGGGACAUGUUCUAGCCAAGGGUGGAUGGAGCCAUUACAGUCCAUUAAGGAGCCAGGUGACAACCAUCUGGUCCCCGUGCCACAAAAAGCCUGACAUAGAUGGGUGAGAUUGAAUUUCUUACAAAUUUUGGUCAGCCCUUUGCUUCAUGCCAUAGGUGAAGGAAAAAGAGGGAGAGUCCAGGAGGUUGGAAUGUUAGAAUAUACUGGCCUCGCUCAGUGGGUUAAGCAUCCGGUGUUGCCAUGAGCUGUGGUGUAGGUUGCAGAUGCAGCUCAAAUCCCAAGUUGCUUUGGCUCUGGUGUAGGCUGGCAGCUAUAGCUCCCAUUAUACCCCUAGCCUGGGACCUCCCCUAGCCUGGGACCCCUAGCCUGGGACCUCCGUGAGUUUAGCCCUAAAAAAGACCAAAAAAAAGAAGGACCAAAGGAAAUGUCUUAAGCCAAGCCAAUUUUAAGGUCUGCAUAAAUUUUGCCACUUGAGCCUUAAUAAUCCAUCUGUUCUUUCCACCAGACCAAAGGACUAAGGGUCAUGAGGACAGUGACAGUGCUAUAGAAAAGGCCAGACCUCACAAACGUGUUUAAAAAAAUGCCAGUAAAAAUGAAUUCCCUGAUCAUUAUUCAGUUCUGAGAGCAUAGCCCCCAUGUGGAUAAAAGCUUUUCUAACAGAAUUUUUGCAAGCCUUAAAGCAAUAGCUGUCAAGGGGAUGCUUUAAUCCAAUGAGAAAACAUGCAAAUCAUAAUAAGAAUAAAUGUAUAGCCUUGGGAAGGAGGCAAUGUGAAUAAAACCCAUUUGCCAUAUCUUAAAAGGCCCUUUAGGCCUAUCAAAAUGUCCAAGGGGCAGUUUGCAUGGUUUUCCCUGGUUGGUUUUUUUUUUCGGUUUUGGUUUUUGGGUUUUUUUGGUUUGUUUGUUUGUUUUCGUUUUUGUUUUGGUUUUUGUUUUUGUUUUUUAGGGCCUCACCUGAGACAUAUGGAAGUUCCCAGGCUAGGGGUCGAGUCAGAGCUGCAGCUGCCGGCCUACACCACAGCCACAACAGUGCCAGAUCCCCCACCCACUGAGCGAGGCUAGGGAUCAAACCUGCAUCCUCAUGGAUACUAGUCAGAUUUGUUUCUGCUGCACCACAACAGGAACUCCUUCCCUGUUUUUUGUUUUUUAAGGAUGUACAGCACAAGCUAAUUGUGCCUUCUUGGUGACCUUAAAAAAAUUUUCCCCAGCAGUAUUGUUUCAUUGAUCUGCUGCUCAGUGGGUCAUCUGAUGAGUCAUUUCCAUCUUUACAUGGACUCUGGUAGGACAGGUCUUCUUUUGGGGCCAUAACUAUAAAUUAGUUAAUGGGCUAAAAAUACAGCCAUUAUCAGCCCAAUAGAGCCUUUACACAGUGCCUUAGACUGGCUUUAGAUUGGUCUUCUUUGAUCAUUUUUAUUAGAUCCUCUUUAAAAAUGUAGUCAAAAUUCAAUCUAACCUUUUCAGGUUGGGUGGUUCAUGGGACAGCUGUUCUUACAGCCUGAUCAGACGAAUUACUUCCUUUGUUUCAUCUGGAUUUAAUUUUGAAUGCUCAGGCACCUGAAUGAUGACUAGGACAGAUGAAGUUGAUUGAUUCCAAUGACUCACAGACCUAAUUUCCUUCUUCAUCUGGUUUCCCUCCUGAAGUCAAGAAUCCUCUUUGUUUCCAAACUGCCAAAGUCAGGAAGUGCUGCAAAGUGACGCUCUGUAUAGAUAUUCACAGUUUUACUUUCUGCUGGGGUGCAAGCUCUAGUUCAAGCAUGGAGUUCGGUGUGCCGGGCGCAAGUAGGAGUGGUCAGUGGAGCUGCCUCAGUUACUUCAAAGGAGGAGGUGAUUGCAUACCUGGCACAUUGUUUUCCUUUGCCAUUUUCCAAAUAAGCAUCAAUAAACUGAAAUGUCAGCAUUAGUACUACGCCACAGCUCACAGCAACGCCCAACCCACUGAGCAAGGCCACCCAUGCCAUUGGAUGCCCCUUAUAACCGGCAUGCCAGAGAAACACAGGGCAUCUGCUCACCUCUCUGCCCACCUAUCUUUAAGAGGUGUAUUUCUCACUUAAAUAAAUCCUCACUUUUCUUUCUCAAUUUCCAUCUCAUUUCUGAAUUCCUUCUGCAAAAAGAUAAGAACCUUCCCUUCAGGAACAGUAGUAGGAACAAAAUAUUACUGCUAAUAACAGCAAACUAGACAUCUCAAGGAAUUAAGUGCUUUUCUUUGCAUGGGGCGCUGCAGGGUCUGGGGUCACUGAAAUCAUUCCUUUGAUAUGCACCUCAGCUAUCUGGGGUCUGUAUCCUGUGUUUCACACCCUGAAUUUCCUCAGGGCUCAUUGUCUGUCUGUUGGAAGUGGCUGCAGUCUGUUGGCUGCUAGAUGACAGGUAUGCUUUGUUUCCUUCCUGAGUUCCCUCAGGGCUCACUGGGCUUACCCUUGGAGGUGGCAGCAAUCACUAAUGACUGUGAUAUCUUUUGUUUACUGAUAUAGCAGGCAAUAUUUUAUUUCUCAGGUAGAUAAACCCUGGUGGAAAAAAAAAUGACAUCUGCUUGGAGUUCCCUGGUGGCCUAGCAGAUUAAGGAUCUGGCGUUGUCACUGCUGUGGCAGGGCUUUGACCCCUGGCCCAGGAACUUCUGCAGGCCAAAGGCACCCCCCCCAAAAAAAAUGGCAUCUGCUAAAUCUGCUUUUAUCAUCUGUGUAAAAAAUAGGAAGGACUUUCAGUAUAGCCAGAUGUAUUGUCCUACCCACAUGAAUGCAAAUAAAAAUUGACUUUCAGGAUCUAGGAGGAUGCUGGAAAAGGUACUACAGAGGUCUAUUGUGAAAAAUUUACCCUCUAUAGGUAUUUCUAUUAAAAGGGUAUAAGAGUCAAGGAUGACCAGAUGAUAAGGGAUAACAGCAUUCUAAAUAGCCCUCCAACCUUGGACAAAUCUCCACCCUCUUGGUUCCUCAAUAGGGAGAAUGGAUGUAAUACAGGGACUGUAUUACAUUACUUAUAUUCCUCUGCAAUUGGUUUAAUUCCUCCUAAGUCCUCAGGAUUUAAAGGUUAUUGUUUAGAGUUCCCGUCGUGGCACAGUGGAAAUGAAUCUGACCAGGAACCACGAGGAUGUGGGUUCGAUCCCUGGCCUCGCUCAGUGGGUUAAGGAUCCGGCGUUGCUGUGAGCUGUGGUGUAGGUCGCAGACACGGCUCAGAACUUGCGUUGCUGUGGCUGUGGUGUAGGCUGGCAGCUGUAGCUCCGAUUAGACCCCUAGCCUGGGAACCUCCAUAUGCUUCAGAUGCGGCCCUAAAAAGCAAAAUAAAUAAAAUAAAUAAAGGUGAUUGUUUAUUGCUUAGGAGAGGUUUACCAGGGUUGAUUUGAGUUCCACUUGGGGGAGCUGAAUGAAUGUUGCAUGUAGUCUGCCCAGAAUUUCUCAGGGACUUCGUUGAGGAGUUUUAAGUGUAUGUUAUCUUGUAAGUUUACCCUAAGGGCAAAAACUGCUAAUAGGGUUGAGGAGUUUGGAAUCCCAUGAGUUGUUGAGGGGGUUGAAUCUCCCACUUUUGAGAAAAAGAGAAGACAACAUGAUAUUUCUCUUAAAAGUCUCAUUCUAGGAAGUCGGCAGGAGCAGGACUGACCAGUAGGAAGGAAUGAUUGACCUGGAGGGGGCCCAGCUGGAAAGAAAAGGGAAGAGACUUAUAAAUCGUAGGUUUGCUAGAUACUCUCAACAUUUGAGUAUCUCUGUGCUCUGAGGACGGAUUUGUUUGAGGUUGGAGGGAUUGAGCAAAGUGUGGCUCUCGUGUCAGUUAAGACAGUAAGGAGCUCAUUUCCAAUGAUAAGGGAAUUUUUACCCUGAUGAUUAAGGGGAAGGACUGGAAAAAACCCUUGUUUGUCCCGAGCAGGCUCAGUCCCUGAGAGGAGCUGAAGGCUGAACGUGGGAGCAUUGUUUAACAUCUUUCAGUUUAAGGCAAGUCUUUUUCCAAUGACCGGGCUUCUUACACAAAUGACAGACAUUUUUAGAGUUUGAAGGCUUUGAUUUAGUUUGUUGAAGCCUCUGGGAGGAGUCUGAUAGCUGUCGAAACAGUAAAUUUAUUAUUUUAGUGGCCUUUCGCUUAUUUGAAUUUUGAAUGGUCCAGGCCAGUUGGUUUGCUAGAUUAACCAAAUCAGGAGCUGCCAUGGCUUCCCAUUUGAACUGGGCUCGCUUUACUAGAAUUGUGAGGUUUUCUUCUCAGCCACUUGUGAACAUGGAAUUAAAGACUCCUUUAGUGGACUCUGCUUCUAUGGAGAGUCCAGGAUUUUCCUUUAGAACCAUUCCAGGUCUGUUGUAACGGUCACGCACAAGUUCAUCAGUCCUUGAGUGUGUGCCUGGAUUUGUUCCAAUCAAUGAAUGGGUUUGGGGAAGGUCUGAGCAAUGGCUGGCUUCAUAUACAGUUUUUGCUAUGUCUUGGGCUUUAGAGCUGUCUGUUGUUAGGACAGCAGAGUGGAGAGAAACAGAGUCUGGUGCAGUGAGAUCACAAGCAGGUUUAAAGACCAACAGAGUAGCCAUGUACACUGAGCAGAGAGAACUCAGGCUCCCUGCUCUAGGGGCAAGGGCUUUUUUAUGGUUAGGGUUUCGUGUGAUAGGUCAUGUCUUCUCAAGGAGAAAGGGGAAGAGGGCUUGGGAAACAGGGAAAGAGGAUUUAGGUUAUUAAGUGUCAAUUUUAACAGUCCUUUUGGCUUUAUUUUGAGGCUUAACAGCUCCUUAAAUUAUCUUGGUCCUAGAGCCUUCAUCCAUGUUGGAGUCUGUUUCCUACUCGUUUGGUCAGUUGAAAUCGUGUCUGGAGCUUGGAUGGAAUCUUGAUGAUAUGGCUGAUUUCAUGUCUUCUGUUUUGAACUUGCUCUCCAUGUAAGAGACACCACAUAACAUCUGUCACCUGGCAUGGUCCAUUGAAGAACCUCUAAAGGAUGAUUCCAGCCAGCUUUAGCCUUCCAGAGUUGUGCCUGACCUUCUCCCAAGAGCUUGUGGACUAAUUGAUAAAAGAUCAGGAAACCCAGACUCAUAGAUUUUAAUGACAGUGUUAAAUUCCUCUGCAAAACAGUGACGUCCUCAGUAACCUUGGGAAAUUUUUUUUGGCUACAGCUGGCAAUUCUGCCUUAGUCCAAAAAUGUGUAAAUUACAUUCAUUUUUGGGUUUCUAUUUAAAUGGAUGAGUUUGAACUGGUCAAAUGGAAGAGGUUGGGGGUGGAGGAUCAAGGAGGGGUCUCAGGUCUUGGGGAUAAAAAGGGAGUUUAGCAAGUUAAGGGGGAAGGAAAAAAGGAGACAUCCUGGAGUGGAAGACAGACUUGAAAAGAAGGAGGGAGUGAUAGAGAAAAGUUUUGAACCUUUUGUAACUGAGAAAUCUUUUCAGGAAGUUUAGAAUUUGUGUCUUUGAGGGAAAUGAUUCUGGGGAUCAGAAAUUGCAAUCCAGGGAGUUCCCCUUAUGGUGCAGCAGAAACAAAUCCGACUAGAAACCAUGAGGUUGUGGGUUUGAUCCCUGGCCUUGCUCAGUGGGUUAAGGAUCCGGAGUUGCCAUGAGCUGGCAGCAACAGCUCCGGUUAGACCCCUAGCCUGAGAACCUCCAUAUGCCAUGGGAAGUGGCCCUA
rnacentral:lncRNA from 1 species